rnacentral:rRNA from 1 species
UACGAAGGGGGCUAGCGUUGCUCGGAAUCACUGGGCGUAAAGCGCACGUAGGCGGCUUUCUAAGUCAGGGGUGAAAUCCUGGAGCUCAACUCCAGAACUGCCUUUGAUACUGGAGAGCUUGAGUCCGGGAGAGGUGAGUGGAACUCCGAGUGUAGAGGUGAAAUUCGUAGAUAUUCGGAAGAACACCAGUGGCGAAGGCGGCUCACUGGCCCGGUACUGACGCUGAGGCGCGAAAGCGUGGGGAGCAAACGGG